rnacentral:rRNA from 1 species
UGUACGUAGUAGUGAAGGGAAACCGGAACGAGCCUUCGGGCAGCGUAGACAGGUGCUGCAUGGCUGUCGUCAGCUCGUGUCGUGAGAUGUUGGGUUAAGUUCCGCAACGAGCGCAACCCGUGUUGCUAGUUACAAGUGUCUAGCGAGACUGCCGGUAACAAGCCGGAGGAAGGUGCGGAUGAUGUCAAGUCAGCAUGGCCUAUAUGUCCAGGGCUACACACACGCUACAAUGGCUGGUACAAAGAGAAGCGAAAGGGAGACCUGAAGCGAAUCUCAUCAAAGCCAGUCAUAGUUCGGAUUGCAGGCUGCAACUCGCCUGCAUGAAGUCGGAGUUGCUAGUAACCGCAGGUCAGCAAUACUGCGGUGAAUACGUUCCCGGGCCUUGUACACAC